rnacentral:rRNA from 1 species
GCAUAUCAAUAAGCGGAGGAAAAGAAACUAACAAGGAUUCCCCUAGUAACUGCGAGUGAAGCGGGAAAAGCUCAAAUUUAAAAUCUGGCGGCUUUGGUCGUCCGAGUUGUAAUCUAGAGAAGUGUCUUCCGCGCUGGACCGUGUAUAAGUCUCUUGGAACAGAGCGUCAUAGAGGGUGAGAAUCCCGUCUUUGACACGGACUACCAGUGCUUUGUGAUGCGCUCUCAAAGAGUCGAGUUGUUUGGGAAUGCAGCUCAAAAUGGGUGGUAAAUUCCAUCUAAAGCUAAAUAUUGGCGAGAGACCGAUAGCGAACAAGUACCGUGAGGGAAAGAUGAAAAGCACUUUGGAAAGAGAGUUAAACAGUACGUGAAAUUGCUGAAAGGGAAACGCUUGAAGUCAGUCGCGUUGUCUAGAACUCAGCCAGGCUUGCUUGGUGCAUUUUCUAGUCAACGGGCCAGCAUCAGUUUUGACUGCGGGAAAAAGGCCGGAGAAAUGUGGCACCUUCGGGUGUGUUAUAGUCUCUGGUUGUAUACCGUGGUUGGGACUGAGGCUCUCAGCACGCGCAAGCUGUGCUUAGGAUGCUGGCGUAAUGGCUUUAAACGACCCGUCUUGAAACACGGACCAAGGAGUCUAACAAACCUGCGAGUGUUUGGGUGGUAAACUCGAGCGCGAAAUGAAAGUGAAAGUUGGGAUCCCUGUCGCGGGGAGCACCGACGCCCGGACCAGACCUUCUGUGACGGAUCUGCGGUAGAGCAUGUUUGUUGGGACCCGAAAGAUGGUGAACUAUGCCUGAAUAGGGUGAAGCCAGAGGAAACUCUGGUGGAGGCUCGUAGCGAUUCUGACGUGCAAAUCGAUCGUCAAAUUUGGGUAUAGGGGCGAAAGACUAAUCGAACCAUCUAGUAGCU